rnacentral:rRNA from 1 species
UACGGAGGGUGCGAGCGUUGUCCGGAAUCACUGGGCGUAAAGGGCUCGUAGGCGGUCUGUCGCGUCGGGAGUGAAAACUCAGGGCUUAACCCUGAGCCUGCUUCCGAUACGGGCAGACUAGAGGUAUGCAGGGGAGAACGGAAUUCCUGGUGUAGCGGUGGAAUGCGCAGAUAUCAGGAGGAACACCGGUGGCGAAGGCGGUUCUCUGGGCAUUACCUGACGCUGAGGAGCGAAAGUGUGGGGAGCGAACAGG